rnacentral:rRNA from 1 species
CAAGUCGAACGAUUAAAGCUCUCUUCGGAGAGUGCAUAGAGUGGCGCACGGGUGAGUAACACGUAAGUAAUCUACCUUUGAGUGGGGAAUAACAGUCGGAAACGGCUGCUAAUACCGCAUAAUGCAGCGGCAUCGCAAGAUGACAGUUGUUAAAGAUUUAUCGCUUGAAGAGGAGCUUGCGGCAGAUUAGCUAGUUGGUAAGGUAAUGGCUUACCAAGGCUACGAUCUGUAACCGGUCUAAGAGGACGGUCGGUCACACUGACACUGAAUAACGGGUCAGACUCCUACGGGAGGCAGCAGUCGGGAAUUUUGGGCAAUGGGCGAAAGCCUGACCCAGCAACGCCGCGUGAAGGAUGAAGUAUUUCGGUAUGUAAACUUCGAAAGAAUAGGAAGAAUAAAUGACGGUACUAUUUAUAAGGUCCGGCUAACUACGUGCCAGCAGCCGCGGUAAUACGUAGGGACCAAGCGUUGUUCGGAUUUACUGGGCGUAAAGGGCGCGUAGGCGGCGUGACAAGUCACUUGUGAAAUCUCUGGGCUUAACCCAGAACGGCCAAGUGAAACUGUUGUGCUAGAGUGCAGAAGGGGCAAUCGGAAUUCUCGGUGUAGCGGUGAAAUGCGUAGAUAUCGAGAGGAACACCAGAGGUGAAGACGGGUUGCUGGGCUGACACUGACGCUGAGGCGCGAAAGCCAGGGGAGCAAACGGGAUUAGAUACCCCGGUAGUCCUGGCCCUAAACGAUGAAUACUUGGUGUCUGGAGUUAUUAGUGCUCCGGGUGCCGUCGCUAACGUUUUUAGUAUUCCGCCUGGGGAGUACGCUCGCAAGAGUGAAACUCAAAGGAAUUGACGGGGACCGCACAAGCGGUGAGCAUGUGGUUAAUUCGACGCACCGCGAAGAACUUACCUAGGCUA